GCAGUCGUGGCCGAGUGGUUAAGGCGAUGGGCUCGAAAUCCAUUGGGGUCUCCCCGCACAGGCUCAAAUCCUGUCGACUGCG
rnacentral:tRNA from 1 species